UGGAAGUAAAAGUCGUAACAAGGUCUCCGUUGGUGAACCAGCGGAGGGAUCAUUAUAGAGUUUUCUAAACUCCCAACCCAUGUGAACUUACCAUUGUUGCCUCGGCAGAAGCUGCUCGGUGCACCUUACCUUGGAACGGCCUACCCUGUAGCGCCUUACCCUGGAACGGCUUACCCUGCAACGGCUGCCGGUGGACUACCAAACUCUUGUUAUUUUAUGGUUAUCUGAGCGUCUUAUUUUAAUAAGUCAAAACUUUCAACAACGGAUCUCUUGGUUCUGGCAUCGAUGAAGAACGCAGCGAAAUGCGAUAAGUAAUGUGAAUUGCAGAAUUCAGUGAAUCAUCGAAUCUUUGAACGCACAUUGCGCCCAUUAGUAUUCUAGUGGGCAUGCCUGUUCGAGCGUCAUUUCAACCCUUAAGCCUAGCUUAGUGUUGGGAGCCUACUGCUUUUACUAGCUGUAGCUCCUGAAAUACAACGGCGGAUCUGCGAUAUCCUCUGAGCGUAGUAAUUUUUAUCUCGCUUUUGACUGGAGUUGCAGCGUCUUUAGCCGCUAAACCCCCAAUUUUUACUGGUGACCUCGGAUCAGGUAGAAGACCCCC
rnacentral:rRNA from 1 species